AGGCUUAGACCAUUUCUAAAUCAAGAGGCAAAGAUUUUAUUAUUAUGCCAUAAAGUUUUAGCAAUUAACUAAGGGAAAGAGGCUGACUAAGUUCCCUACUGGAACUCACCAUUAUGAUGCUUAGGAAGUAGGCUAACCUUAAAAGGAGUUAGCCAUUGUGAUGCUUUUUAAAUGGUGGAGUUAGCUAUAACUAGGAGAAAGAUGUCACAAGGCAGGCAAAAUCCCUAGAGAACUUUCUGCCAUAAGGCAGGCAGAUUUAAGAAACCAACAAAGAAAUGGGGGACAGUUUUCUAGGAAGCAUUCUUUUGUGAACAUUAAUCACCAAAGGCUUGAAGCCUGCCGGUGCCUGGCAAUCAAUCAACGUUUAGGAAGCAUCUGCUAUGUGCCAGGCACUGUGAGGAGGACUGGGGAUACAAAAACAUGGUCCUUGUCCUCGAGGAGCUUCCGAUCUAACGGGAGAGACAACCUGCAAGCACAGACAAAGUUCUAUACAGGGUAAAUAGGAAACAUUAACCGAGAGAAGGCACCAGAAUUGGGCAGCCUGGGUGCAUGAUCAAUGCUUCACUGGACGUGGAUGGAGGGAGAAAGCAGUUGGAGGGGUGCACAAGCCAGGAGCAGGGACGAAGUGGGCCAGGGAAUUUUAGGAGAUCGUGAGCUCCUCAUCUCUCUAGGUCUUUAGGCCGACUGGGGAGGCCAUUUGUCCGCCCAGGGGCCACGGGGCCUCAUCGGGACAGCCUCCUGGGCCCUUCCCGUUGCGGAUUCGGGGAGGGUCUCCAGCUAGCGUCUACUGGGGGGCCUUCUCUCGAAGUCUACCCCCUCCUCAGAUAUAAACGGUCACUGGCGGAAGCCCCUUCCCAUCCUGAAGCCUCUUUCCCGGGGAAUAACGGGCCCGCUCUGUCCAAUCACUGGGCUCCGUGAGACACAGAGUUCUACCGCCCUGGAGGUAACACUCCUUUUCUGGUAGGUGUGCGCACAUCCCGCCUCCCACUCUGCAAAUGCGCAUGCUCAGUUUCCGUUCCAGGGACGGGCCCCAGGAGUUAUGA
rnacentral:lncRNA from 1 species